CCCAAAAUGCCCCAAACAGCCAAGGCUGAGCUGGGUUGACACCAGAAGGCAGAAACUAGAUCCAGGUGCAUGAAGUUGGAGACAGAAACCCAACUGAGAAUCAACUGUUGCCUCCCACAGUGUGCGUUAUCAGAAGUUGGAAUCAAGGGCUGGACCAGGACUCGAACCCCGGCACUCCAGGAGGGAAAGCAGACAUCUCAAACAGAAGAGGUGCUAUACUAUCAGCCAGAAUGUCAAAUGCCCGUUCCUAAUUUUUUGAUUCAAGUAGUUUGAACCAUUCUUUUUACUUCUUGGUUUAGAUUCAUCCAUUUUUUCCUGA